rnacentral:rRNA from 1 species
CCUACGGGAGGCAGCAGUGGGGAAUAUUGGACAAUGGGCGAAAGCCUGAUCCAGCCAUGCCGCGUGUGUGAAGAAGGCCUUCGGGUUGUAAAGCACUUUCAGUGGGGAAGAAAGCCUUGGGGCUAAUACCCUCGAGGAAGGACAUCACCCACAGAAGAAGCACCGGCUAACUCCGUGCCAGCAGCCGCGGUAAUACGGAGGGUGCGAGCGUUAAUCGGAAUUACUGGGCGUAAAGCGCGCGUAGGCGGUCUGAUAAGCCGGUUGUGAAAGCCCUGGGCUCAACCUGGGAACGGCAUCCGGAACUGUCAGGCUAGAGUGCAGGAGAGGAAGGUAGAAUUCCCGGUGUAGCGGUGAAAUGCGUAGAGAUCGGGAGGAAUACCAGUGGCGAAGGCGGCCUUCUGGACUGACACUGACGCUGAGGUGCGAAAGCGUGGGUAGCAAACAGGAUUAGAUACCCGGUAGUC